UAGGCGGCGGACUUAAUAAUAGAUUGGAAUGUGAAAUGUUAAAUUUUUAUGUUGUACGUCAAUGAGUAUAAUGAUCACGUGUAUUGCACGAUCCCCGCAACACACGUAAACUGCGAAAAAUACGUACAAUCUUCGUGAUAUUUGCAAUCUUGUGUUUUCAACCGUGUUUUGUUGAAUUGUGUCAGACUCGCAGUUAUCUAUCGAGAUAACAAUAUGAGAUGUGCAGUAAAGCAGUGCAUAAAUAUAUAUAAAAAAGGAUGCGGCAUACACUUCUUUUCGUAAUUUCCCAAAAAUGAAGAACUUUUAGCACAGUAGAUAGCAGCAAUACAACGAGCUAAUUGGCAACCAUCAAGUGCCAGCAAAGUUUGCUAUCUUCAUUUUGCACCAUCUGAUUUUAGUGAGAACGAACCGGGAAUAACAAGAAAGCUUUUAAAAAAAAUGCUGUUCCUACAAUACAUUUAGGACACAAUAAAGAAGAUACUUCUGUAAUAUCAAAAGAUGAAGAAGAAAAAACAAAUCUGUUACCAAUUUGAUAAUACCUUCAUUUAUGAAAUAUGAAACUUCUCUAUCAAGAGAUCAAAUGGAUCAGGAAGAUUGUAACAUUCAGUCAAUUCCCCUAAUUGUGGAAUCAGAAACAAUUAUGUUAGAUACAUCAAGAAAACGAAAAUCAUGCAAUUGCAAUUAUUAUUCAGCUAAAAUUAUACAAUUAGAAGAGGAGAACAAGAUAUUGAAAGAAAACCAAGAAAAACAAAAUACAAUGUUUAAUGAGAUAAUUGCAGAAACAAAUAGAUGAUCAUGUUCAAGAACUUGAGAAACAAAAAACAAUAUUUAAUAUCUUACUUAAAAAAGAAAAAGAAACACUGCAAAAAAAGUUACAUGCAGUAUAUACAAAAGCGAAACUAUUAAGCAAAAAGACAAAAAGAAAAGAGAUAAAAUAAAAUCUUUAUCCAUGUUACUUGAUACACUAAAAGAAAAAAAUCUAAUUAUGCCAACAACUUUUAAUACCUUAAAGCAUGAGUUUUCUGAAAAUUUUCAGUCAAUUUUAUUGAGUGAAUUCCAAAGUGAACAACAAAGAAUCAUCAUGAAAUUACCUCAUUCAUCAUCAUUAAGAUACUGGACUUCUACAGUAGACAUUAAUCCGGGCUUUUUAUCUAAAGUACUAGAAGAGUUAAAGAAACUAUCAUGUUAAGAUAAAAAUUGUUGUUUAAUAUUUGAUGGAAUGUCUAUUCGGAAACAGGUAUGUUGGAGUGAAGUAGAUCAUAAGUAUGUGGGUUACUGCGAUUAUGAUAAUAAUUUUAACUUCGAAACAGAGGCGACAGAAGCAUUAGUAUUUACGUUAGUAAACAUAAAAGGUAAAUGGAAAUGUCCUAUAGCAUACUUUUUUAAAAAUGGAAUGUCAUCUUCAACAUUAGCAGAAUUAAUCAAGACUGCACUAAUAUUAACAUCUAAUGUAAACUUUAAAGUAAGAGCUAUUACAUGCGAUGGCGUAAGUGUUAAUAUAAGUGCCUUGCAUAGUUUAGGAUGUAAGCUCUUUUCCUUAUAAUCAUGAAGAUAUUGUAAAUUACUUUGAUCAUCCUAGUGAGCAUUAUAAAGUAUAUAUUAUAUUGGAUCCCUGUCAUAUGCUAAAGUUAGCACGUAACGCUCUUGCUGAUUAUACAGAAUUCUGGGAUGAACAUAAAAGUACAAAGUGGAAUUAUAUUGUUAAUUUGCAUAAAGUUCAAACUCAAAUGACAUAAAUUAAAAAACAAAUUAAAUCCUCAGUGCAUUUUUUGGCAACAAAAUAAGAUGAAAGUGAAAUAUGCGGCUAACACACUUAGUGCCUCUGUAGCAAAUGCCAUCGAUUUUUUAAGAAAAGAAGGUUUAGAUGAUUUCAAAGAUAGUGAGAGUACAACAAAAUUUAUUAGAAUUAUAGAUAGAUUAUUCGAUUUUUUAAAUACAAGAAAUCCAUUUGGAAAAAAUUAUAAACAACCUAUCACAAGAAAUAACUUUCACUAUCUUCAGGAAAUGAUACAAAACAGUGUACAUUAUUUAUUUUUAUUAAAAUGUAAAGACGGGACAUUUUUAAAAACAUCUAAUAGAAGAACAUUUCUUUAUGGAUUUGUGAUAGCUGCUAAAUCAAUAUUAUCUGUCGCUCAUGAUUUAUUAUAUUGUAGUAAUACAUUGUAUAAAUAUAUAUUGUCAUACAAGUUUUCUCAAGACCAUUUGGAAUUAUUGUUUGGUAAAAUUCGAAAUUGUAAUGGUCAAAACAACAAUUCAAAUGUACUACAGUUUCAGUAUACCAUGAGAAAACUGUUACUUCGUAAUAACAUAAGAAAUUCAAAUGACACAAAUUGUUUACAAUUAGAUACCGAUCCUGUUGGGUCCUUAUUUGAAUUGACUUGGCCAAAGAAAACAAAAGAAUUUACAUUAUUUGAACAAAACAUAGAAACAGAUAAUGAUGACUUAAAUAACAAUACAAAAAACUCAAAAGUUAUUAUAAAACCCUUACAAGAAAACAUAAUAUAUUAUAUUGGUGAAUAUAUAAUAAAAACAUUUAAAUCUCUUAAGUGUUUUUCUUGUGCAAAAGCACUUACACAACAAACUAUAGAACAUAAUUAUACACAUAUUAAAACUUAUACUAAGUUUUACGACUUUAACAAUAACGGACCCAGUAAAAAAUUUUCCAUGUAUAAAAUUGUAUGGACAUA